UAAAAUCCUACAGUCAUUCUUCCAGCAUAAAGGGAAAACGGACUCGCUAGGAGGACCUAGACUCUUUCAGCUCGAACUGUUAACCAAUGGUGGAAAUGCAAGAAUGCUGAAGUUGUGCCUUCAGAGCCAAUAGAGUGGAUUUGUGUGUCCCACAUGACUGUGUUUCCCCUGUCUUUCACAUGGGCAGUAUUUAGUUCAAUUCAGAACUGCAGAUAGUAUAGCGUGCAGAGCAGCAAUGGGAUGUCUGAGCACAAGUAGCUGACUUCCAGGCGACUUCAGGAAGCUCAUUUGUACAUUUCUCCUGAAUUAUCUGGGAUUCUGCACCCUUGACAUUCUCCAACCCUCCUUGUCGCUGCAGAAGGAGACAGCGACCUGCACAGCACAACAAAACUACAAAUCACCACAGUGCUACAGACCAGCAAUGAAGAGAGCUGAGGGCAAUUUGACCAACAUCAUCUGUGUCAGGUCCCCAGAAAUCGACGACGCACGUGAUCGGGUCUCCAAGACCACAAGACUCAGAAGAUCACUGUGAAACAAAGACACUGGGCCAACCCACUCUGUUGAUAUGACACAAAGUGCAGCCCAGUCUGGCAUUCCUUCCACCCUGAAGGAGUCUCUCACCAGGUAGGAGAAGCUAACUUGUUUCUUUGCUGUUGAAUGACUACCCAUUUUUUCCCCAGC
rnacentral:lncRNA from 1 species